UGCAGUCGAGCGGGGUUACUUAUAAUCUUGCUUCUAUCUAACCUAGCGGCGGACGGGUGAGUAACACGUACGCAACCUGCCCACAAGACAGGGAUAACUACCGGAAACGGUAGCUAAUACCCGAUACAUCCUUUUCCUGCAUGGGUGAAGGAGGAAAGGCGGAGCAAUCUGUCACUUGUGGAUGGGCCUGCGGCGCAUUAGCUAGUUGGUGGGGUAAUGGCCUACCAAGGCGACGAUGCGUAGCCGACCUGAGAGGGUGAUCGGCCACACUGGGACUGAUACACGGCCCAGACUCCUACGGGAGGCAUCAGUAGGGAAUCUUCCGCAAUGGGCGAAAGCCUGACGGAGCAACGCCGCGUGAGUGAUGAAGGUUUUCGGAUCGUAAAGCUCUAGUUGCCAGGGAAGAACGUCUUGUAGAGUAACUGCUAUAAGAGUGACGGUACCUGAGAAGAAAGCCCCGGCUAACUACGUGCCACCAGCCGCGGUAAUACGUAGGGGGCAAGCGUUGUCCGGAAUUAUUGGGCGUAAAGCGCGCGCGCGCGGCUCUUUAACUCUGGUGUUUAAUCCCGAAGCUCAACUUCGGGUCGCACUGGAAACUGGAGAGCUUGACUGCAGAAUAGGAGAAUGUAAUUCCACGUGUAGCGGUGAAAUGCGUAUAGAUGUGGAGGAACACCAGUGGCGAAGGCGACUCUCUGGGCUGUAACUGACGCUGAUGCGCGAAAGCGUGGGGAGCAAACAGGAUUAGAUACCCUGGUAGUCCCCGCCGUAAACGAUGAAUGCUAGUGUUAGGGGC
rnacentral:rRNA from 1 species